AACGCACAUUGCGCCCUUUGGCAUUCCGAAGGGCAUGCCCGUUCGAGCGUCAUUAAACCCAAUCAAGCUUGGCUUGGUAUUAAGUAAUAGGGCGUCCCUAUACUUCAAUUUCACCGGCUGGCCGUCGCCCGUCUUAGCGUUGUGACAUCAAUUGUCGCUAUCGAUGGGAGCGGUCCACGCCGUUAUAAUUCGAUGAGUUUUAUUCAAAACUCUGACUCAGGUUGACCUCGGAUCGGGUAGGAAUACCCGCUGAACUUAA
rnacentral:misc_RNA from 1 species